GUACCGUGAGGGAAAGGUGAAAAGCACCCCGAUAAGGGGAGUGAAAUAGUUCCUGAAACCGGAUGCCUACAAGCAGUUGGAGCCUCUAUAUGGGGUGACAGCGUACCUCUUGCAUAAUGGGUCAGCGAGUUAGUCUUACAAGCGAGCUUAAGCCGUUAGGUGUAGGCGCAGCGAAAGCGAGUCUGAACAGGGCGACUGAGUUAAAUGGAUUAGACCCGAAACCCGGCGAUCUAGUUAUGAGCAGGUUGAAGGUGCGGUAACACGCACUGGAGGACCGAACCCACGUCUGUUGAAAAAGACGGGGAUGACUUGUGGUUAGGGGUGAAAGGCCAAUCAAACCUGGAGAUAGCUGGUUCUCCGCGAAAUCUAUUUAGGUAGAGCGUCAGACGAAUACCAUCGGGGGUAGAGCACUGAAUGGGCUAGGGGGCCUUACCGGCUUACCAAACCUAAUCAAACUCCGAAUACCGAUGAGUACUAUCUGGCAGACAGACUACGGGUGCUAAGGUCCGUGGUCGAGAGGGAAACAGCCCAGACCGCCAGUUAAGGUCCCAAAGUUGUGGCUAAGUGGGAAAGGAUGUAGGACGGCCAAGACAACCAGGACGUUGGCUUAGAAGCAGCCAUCGUUUAAAGAAAGCGUAACAGCUCACUGGUCUAAUUAAGCUGUCCCGCGCCGAAGAUGUACCGGGGCUCAAGCCACACACCGAAACUGCGGAUUUGUUCCUUAGGGAACAAGUGGUAGCGGAGCGUUCCGUAAGCCGUUGAAGGUGUGGCGCGAGCCAUGCUGGAGGUAUCGGAAGUGAGAAUGCUGACAUGAGUAGCGAUAAAGAGUGUGAGAGACACUCUCGCCGAAAACCCAAGGGUUCCUGCGCAAGGCUAAUCCGCGCAGGGUGAGUCGGCCCCUAAGGCGAGGCCGAAAGGCGUAGUCGAUGGGAAACGGAUUAAUAUUUCCGUACUUGGUAUAAUUGCGAUGGGGGGACGGAGCAGGCUAAGCAAGCAUGGCGAUGGUAGUCCAUGUGAAAGUGUGUAGGCUAGUGACUUAGGUAAAUCCGGGUUGCUGUUAGGCUGAGACACGAGACGAGUCACCAAGGUGAUGAAGUUGCUGAUGCCAUACUUCCAGGAAAAGCCUCUAAGCUUCAGAUCACAUGCGACCGUACCCCAAACCGACACAGGUGGUCAGGUAGAGAAUACCAAGGCGCUUGAGAGAACUCGGGUGAAGGAACUAGGCAAAAUGGCACCGUAACUUCGGGAGAAGGUGCACCGGUUCGAGUGAAGGACUUGCUCCGUAAGCUCUUACCGGUCGAAGAUACCAGGUGGCUGCAACUGUUUAUUAAAAACACAGCACUCUGCAAACGCGCAAGCGGACGUAUAGGGUGUGACGCCUGCCCGGUGCCGGAAGGUUAAGAGGAGGUGUGCAAGCACCGAAUUGAAGCCCCGGUAAACGGCGGCCGUAACAAUAACGGUCCUAAGGUAGCGAAAUUCCUUGUCGGGUAAGUUCCGACCUGCACGAAUGGCGUAACGACUUCCCCACUGUCUCCAGCAUAGACUCAGCGAAAUUGAAUUCUCCGUGAAGAUGCGGAGUACCCGCGGUCAGACGGAAAGACCCCGUGCACCUUUACUACAGCUUCAGAGUGGUAUUAGGGAUAACAUGUGUAGCAUAGGUGGGAGGCUUUGAAGCCGGGACGCCAGUCCUGGUGGAGCCACCCUUGAAAUACCACCCUUGUUGUUCCUGAUAUCUAACCACGUCCCGUGAACCCGGGACUGGGACCCUCUGUGGCGGGUAGUUUGACUGGGGCGGUCGCCUCCUAAAGAGUAACGGAGGCUCCCAAAGGUACCCUCAGCACGGAUGGCAAUCGUGCGUAGAGUGUAAAAGCAUAAGGGUGCUUGACUGCGAGACAGACACGUCGAGCAGGUACGAAAGUAGGUUCUAGUGAUCCGGUGGUUCUGUAUGGAAGGGCCAUCGCUCAACGGAUAAAAGGUACUCCGGGGAUAACAGGCUGAUACCGCCCAAGAGUUCAUAUCGACGGCGGUGUUUGGCACCUCGAUGUCGGCUCAUCUCAUCCUGGGGCUGGAGCAGGUCCCAAGGGUAUGGCUGUUCGCCAUUUAAAGUGGUACGCGAGCUGGGUUUAGAACGUCGUGAGACAGUUCGGUCCCUAUCUGCCGUGGGCGUCGGAAGUUUGAGAAGAGCUGCUCCUAGUACGAGAGGACCG
rnacentral:rRNA from 1 species